AAGCACUCUUGCACUCACACUUAGUCAAAAUAAUUAAGCUAUACACGGAAAAUCAAAAUGCGCAUCUCAAUCACACCAUUCACACUCUCCGGGCAGCCCGCAGUCACACAAGCAGUAUGUUAUAUGGUACCGUGCACUUAUUAUGCAUUUCAAUGAACAAUUGCCAAUAAACAAACAACAAACAAAAACCAAUUUUUCCUGGUCUUAAGCAGAGUGUUAAGUUUUCCGCUAUUUGCCACGAAUUACCAGAAUGUUAAUAUUUUUCAACAUACAUUUCAUAACUCCGAGUUUUGAACAUAUAACAAGACAACACAUAAAACAACCAAGACACAGAGCGCUAUUUCAGUUGUUACAUUCCAGGAAUUCCCCAAUUCUUAAAACAACCUAAAGGAAGUUUUUAGCUUCCUCUUUUUCCUACGCAAAAGUUUCCCUUUUACUUUUGCUGUGAGGUCCCUCUUGUUCCUGUGAGAUUCCGCCUUAUUCCGUCCCGCCCCCCGCUUUCCGUCACGAGGCCUCCGGGCUUUUAGGAAUGGCAGUAACCUCGGGUUUGCUCGAUCUGCCCUCAAGAUCACUAGCGGCCACCCCUUGGUCAGCAAACCCCCUCCCAAAGUACCUUUCCUCCUGGGGACUACGCUGCGCGCCGGACGUCUCCGUGCGUCUCACCAGCCGCCCCGUUACUAAACAUACCGUUUUAUCCGUGGAUCCAGGGGUUUCUCUUCUGCUCCUGGGUGAACAGCUGAGAAGAGGAGGCUCCUCCGAGGAAAUCUCCCGGGGCGCGCCUAGGAGCGUCCGCUCCGCAGCUGGUCCCUCAGCCGAGCAGAAAUCCUCCUGGCUGGCUCGCCAAACUGACGUGCGGAAUUAGACUCUAUAACUCGAAAGUUAUAAAGUAGGUAUGUUUAUUGCGCGCAGAUGCACGGGGGAUCGCUCCUCCACAAGCGUGCAUACCCGAAGUGACGAACCAUCUCACAUUUAUACAAUGAACAAAUGAAUAUUCAAUUAACGCCUAUACAUAUUUGUUACCUAAACCCCGCUUCGUAUGUUAAUUAGCUUAUCAGUCCGUUUCCUGGAAUGUGGUGGUCUUGCAGGUUUGUAGGUGAUUCAUGUUCUUGUGACCAUCCGAUCUUCUUCAGGUGAUUGUGACCACCCAAUCUUUCCAGCAAGGAGACUUAGCACUCCCUCCCUCUAGAUAGCAUUUGAAUGUCUCUCAUCUUUUCUUAUUCUCUUUUAAAUAGCCCCUUUGUUAGAGGAAGAAGGGCAGGCGUCUCCCCUUUGUUAGAGGAAGAGGGGCAGGCGUCUCCUCAAAACUGUAGUUGUCACCGCA